rnacentral:rRNA from 1 species
AUUGAACGCUGGCGGCAGGCCUAACACAUGCAAGUCGAACGGUAACAGGAAGCAGCUUGCUGCUUCGCCGACGAGUGGCGGACGGGUGAGUAAUGUCUGGGAAACUGCCUGAUGGAGGGGGAUAACUACUGGAAACGGUAGCUAAUACCGCAUAACGUCGCAAGACCAAAGAGGGGGACCUUAGGGCCUCUUGCCAUCGGAUGUGCCCAGAUGGGAUUAGCUAGUAGGUGGGGUAACGGCUCACCUAGGCGACGAUCCCUAGCUGGUCUGAGAGGAUGACCAGCCACACUGGAACUGAGACACGGUCCAGACUCCUACGGGAGGCAGCAGUGGGGAAUAUUGCACAAUGGGCGCAAGCCUGAUGCAGCCAUGCCGCGUGUAUGAAGAAGGCCUUCGGGUUGUAAAGUACUUUCAGCGGGGAGGAAGGGAGUAAAGUUAAUACCUUUGCUCAUUGACGUUACCCGCAGAAGAAGCACCGGCUAACUCCGUG